UACGGAGGAUACGAGCGUUAUCCGGAUUUAUUGGGUUUAAAGGGUGCGUAGGCGGACUGGAAAGUCAGCGGUAAAAUCGAGAGGCUCAACCUCUUUCCGCCGUUGAAACUGUCGGUCUUGAGUGGGCGAGAAGUAUGCGGAAUGCGUGGUGUAGCGGUGAAAUGCAUAGAUAUCGCGCAGAACCCCGAUUGCGAAGGCAGCGUGCCGUGCCGCCACUGACGCUGAGGCACGAAAGCGUGGGGAGCAAACAGG
rnacentral:rRNA from 1 species